GAUAAACGCUGGCGGCGUGCCUAACACAUGCAAGUCGAACGAAGCUCUCUGAAUUGAGUUUUCGGACAAGAGGAAGAGAUGACUUAGUGGCGGACGGGUGAGUAAUGCGUGAGCAACCUGCCUUUCAGAGGGGGACAACAGUUGGAAACGACCGCUAAUACCGCAUAAUGUAUUUUGAUGGCAUCAUCGAAAUACCAAAGAUUAUAUCGCUGAAAGAUGGGCUCACGUCUGAUUAGCUAGUUGGUGAGGUAACGGCUCACCAAGGCCGCGAUCAGUAGCCGGACUGAGAGGUCGAACGGCCACAUGGGGACUGAGAUACGGCCCGGACUCCUACGGGAGGCAGCAGUGGGGAAUAUUGGGCAAUGGGCGCAAGCCUGACCCAGCAACGCCGCGUGAAGGAAGAAGGCUUUCGGGUUGUAAACUUCUUUUGGCAGGGACGAAACAAAUGACGGUACCUGCAGAAUAAGCACCGGCUAACUACGUGCCAGCCGCCGCUGUAA
rnacentral:rRNA from 1 species